AGUUUGAUCAUGGCUCAGAUUGAACGCUGGCGGCAUGCCUUACACAUGCAAGUCGAACGGUAGAGUAGCAAUACUUGAGAGUGGCGAACGGGUGAGUAAUAUAUCGGAACGUGCCCAGUCGUGGGGGAUAACGUAGAGAAAUUUACGCUAAUACCGCAUACGAUCUAAGGAUGAAAGCGGGGGAUUCGCAAGAACCUCGCGCGAUUGGAGCGGCUGAUAUCAGAUUAGGUUGUUGGUGAGGUAAAAGCUCACCAAGCCGACGAUCUGUAGCUGGUUUGAGAGAACGACCAGCCACACUGGGACUGAGACACGGCCCAGACUCCUACGGGAGGCAGCAGUGGGGAAUUUUGGACAAUGGGCGAAAGCCUGAUCCAGCAAUGCCGCGUGCAGGAAGAAGGCCUUCGGGUUGUAAACUGCUUUUGUACGGAACGAAAAGGCUCUUUCUAAUAAAGAGGGCCCAUGACGGUACCGUAAGAAUAAGCACCGGCUAACUACGUG
rnacentral:rRNA from 1 species